GACGAACGCUGGCGGCGUGAUUAACACAUGCACGUCGAACGGAGUGGCGAACGGGUUAGUAACACGUGGGUGAUCUGCCUUGCACUUCGGGAUAAGCUUGGGAAAAUGGGUAUAAUCCCGGAUAUUGCAAGAUGAGCUCGCGGCCUAUCAGCUUGGUGGUGGGGUAAGGGCCUACCAAGGCGUCUACGGGUAGCCGGCCUGAGAGGGUGUACGGCCACAUUGGGACUGAGAUACGGCCCAGACGCCUACGGGAGGCAGCAGUGGGGAAUAUUGCACAAUGGGCGGAAGCCGGAUGCAGCGACGCCGCGGGGGGGAUGAAGGCCUUCGGGUUGUAAACUCCUUUCGACAGGGACGCGGUACCUGUAUAAGAAGCACCGGCUAACUACGUGCCAGCCGCCGCGGGAAUUC
rnacentral:rRNA from 1 species